rnacentral:sRNA from 1 species
AGCGUUGCCGCAGGCAACGACCCGAAGGGUGAGGACCGGAGCGACGAAUAAUCCUUCCCCCACCAUCA